rnacentral:misc_RNA from 1 species
GGAAUUACAGAAAUUUGCUUCAUUACAUCUCAAACUAUAAACAAACAUUUACAUUUUCUUCUUCUACGAAUAUGGCGGCGGCAGGAAAAGGCGAAGGACCAGCCAUUGGAAUUGAUUUGGGUACUACAUAUUCUUGUGUAGGUGUAUGGCAACAUGAUCGUGUUGAAAUUAUAGCUAAUGAUCAAGGAAACAGAACCACACGG